AUCAUCAACAACAACAGCAGCAGUUACAUCAAGUCCCACCAUCAAGAACUCAGGUCUCUUGAGGCUCGUCCUCGUGUCUGUGGGUUUAGCCGCUCUCAUAAUGAUUGUCGUGGCGGUCAACAUAUGGACGAGAGCUAAAGAGAAGCAAACACAGAUGGAUGAAAUCAAUGUGCGUUAUGAUGUAGAUGAUGGUACAGUGAACUAUGAAAACAUCAGACCUCCUGAUGGAGUUUGAGCAACACUUCUGCCUCCAUCAGACUCCACUGAUCAACAACGUCUACAUCUAUCAUCAGGAGUGGAAGAUUAUACACUCAUUCUGAAUGACAUAU